AACAGACCGACCCGGAAACAACUCGAGACGAAGAAGGGAGAGAAAGAUAGGUUAGAGAACGGAAGGUGAAAGCUCUAGAGGGAAGCUAGCAAAAAGAACUCUAGACCACCAAGGCAGGAGAGAGAAACCGGCCAAGGAGCUAAACAGAUUCUCAGUUUAGACACUUUCGAACUCGAACUAAGA
rnacentral:sRNA from 10 species